GAUGAACGCUGGCGGCGUGCCUAAUACAUGCAAGUCGAGCGAACGGACGAGAAGCUUGCUUCUCUGAUGUUAGCGGCGGACGGGUGAGUAACACGUGGAUAACCUACCUAUAAGACUGGGAUAACUUCGGGAAACCUGAGCUAAUACCGGAUGAUAUUUUGAACCGCAUGGUUCAAAAGUGAAAGACGUUCUUGCUGUCACUUAUAGAUGGAUCCGCGCUGCAUUAGCUAGUUGGUAAGGUAACGGCUUACCAAGGCAACGAUGCAUAGCCGACCUGAGAGGGUGAUCGGCCACACUGGAACUGAGACACGGUCCAGACUCCUACGGGAGGCAGCAGUAGGGAAUCUUCCGCAAUGGGCGAAAGCCUGACGGAGCAACGCCGCGUGAGUGAUGAAGGUCUUCGGAUCGUAAAACUCUGUUAUUAGGGAAGAACAUAUGUGUAAGUAACUGUGCACAUCUUGACGGUACCUAAUCAGAAAGCCACGGCUAACUACGUG
rnacentral:rRNA from 1 species